rnacentral:rRNA from 1 species
UACGUAGGGUGCAAGCGUUGUCCGGAAUUAUUGGGCGUAAAGAGCUCGUAGGCGGUUUGUCGCGUCUGCUGUGAAAAUCCAGGGCUUAACCCUGGACCUGCAGUGGGUACGGGCAGACUAGAGGUAGGUAGGGGAGAAUGGAAUUCCCGGUGUAGCGGUGAAAUGCGCAGAUAUCGGGAGGAACACCGGUGGCGAAGGCGGUUCUCUGGGCCUUACCUGACGCUGAGGAGCGAAAGCGUGGGGAGCGAACAGG